rnacentral:misc_RNA from 1 species
GAUGAAGAACGCAGCGAAAUGCGAUAAGUAAUGCGAAUUGCAGAAUUCCAGUGAGUCAUCGAAUCUUUGAACGCACAUUGCGCCCUUUGGUAUUCCGAAGGGCAUGCCUGUUCGAGCGUCAUUAUCACCCCUCAAGCCCUCGGCUUGGUGUUGGACGGUUUGGUGGAGGCCCCCUCGGGGGCUCCUGCCCCUCCCAAAGACAAUGACGGCGGCCUCGUUGGACCCCCGGUACACUGAGUUCUUCACGGGACACGUAUCGGACACAUGGGUUUACGGGACACGGUCUGCCUCCCCUCAGGGAGAAUCUUUCUAAGGUUGACCUCGGAUCAGGUAGGGAUACCCGCUGAACUUAAGCAUAUCAACAAGCGGAGGA